GUCAUGGCAAAGUUUCAAAGUUCGCAUUGGUGAACACUUUUGUCGUACAACGCUGAGGUAGCAGGCUUAGACAGCUUCGACGCUUUGUAACACAAACAAAAUCGUCACUUAACCCUUUCACAGAAACAUUGGUCGGCUGAACCGAUUUCCCAGGUGAAAGAUGAAAGGAACCAUGAACGUCCUGCUCCUGUUGAUCGUGUUGGUGAUGAUGGUGCCUGAUGAUGUUGUCGGCUACCCUAAAUGUCAAUGUCCCCCAGAAUGCGUGUGUGAAGUUGAUGAGGACUUUAACCGAGCUGCACGAGAGCGCAAACCACGAGACCUGGCAGCAGAUGUUGCUUCGAUCAAGACAGUGAAUGAGGCAUAUGAAAACGGAGCCCCGCAACGUCCUCUUAUCUGACAUUGACGUGAAAACAGCACACGCAGCAGUAGAUUGCUGUGUUAUCUGGGACUACUGGUGCUGGAUGGUGAGACAUCACCAGUGCUACUUACCUGAGAGAUCUUCUGCUUGCAGCCACACUCUGUGAUUUACUAAAUGAACGCUAGCGCACUUGUAGUUGCUAACGAUCAAGUAGAAAUCCGCCCAGAUCUCAUUCUGAAUGACUCAUUCCACAAUUUAGCUCAUUUGUUAACUGAGCACCCCGUUACAGCACAAAGCAUUGGUCUAAACAUUCGAGGAGAUUUUGACAACAAAUUCUAAAAGAGCUUAAAGUUGUUCAAGAAAUUGUAUGUGAAUGAGCCAUAUGAUGUAUGUGUCAGGAACACAUACUAGAGUUAAUAAACAAUAAAUAAACCUUGAUUUCGGGAUGAAAGGAGUUUAGAGGUGCCGAUGUUUAGCCGAAUAAAAAGUGCUUGCUAUGCAUGGUGAACAUA